GACGAACGCUGGCGGCGUGCUUAACACAUGCAAGUCGAACGGAAAGGCCUCUUUCGGGGGGUAACCGAGUGGCGAACGGGUGAGUAACACGUGAGUAACCUGCCCUUGACUUUGGGAUAACUUCAGGAAACUGGGGCUAAUACAGGAUAGGAGCUACUGCUGCAUGGUGGGGGUUGGAAAGUUUCGGCGGUUGGGGAUGGACUCGCGGCUUAUCAGCUUGUUGGUGGGGUAGUGGCUUACCAAGGCUUUGACGGGUAGUCGUCCUGAGAGGGUGACCGGCCACAUUGGGACUGCGAUACGGCCCAGACUCCUACGGGAGGCAGCAGUGGGGAAUAUUGCACAAUGGGUGGACGCCUGAUGCAGCAACGCCGUGUGCGGGAUGACGGCCUUCGGGUUGUAAACCGCUUUCGCUCAUGACGAAGCUUUGUGUGACGGUAGUGGGUAAAGAAGCACCGGCUAACUACGUG
rnacentral:rRNA from 1 species